rnacentral:tRNA from 1 species
GGGCCCGUCGUCUAGUUUGGAUAAGACGCUGGCCUCCGGAGCCGGAGAUCCGGGGUUCAAAUCCCCGCGGGCCCG